rnacentral:rRNA from 1 species
GACGAACGCUGGCGGCGUGCUUAACACAUGCAAGUCGAACGGUAAGGCCCUUUAGGGGGUACACGAGUGGCGAACGGGUGAGUAACACGUGGGUGAUCUGCCCUGCACUUUGGGAUAAGCCUGGGAAACUGGGUCUAAUACCGGAUAGGACUACGCGAUGCAUGUCGUGUGGUGGAAAGCUUUUGCGGUGUGGGAUGGGCCCGCGGCCUAUCAGCUUGUUGGUGGGGUGAUGGCCUACCAAGGCGACGACGGGUAGCCGGCCUGAGAGGGUGUCCGGCCACACUGUGACUGAGAUACGGCCCAGACUCCUACGGGAGGCAGCAGUGGGGAAUAUUGCACAAUGGGCUCAAGCCUGAUGGAGCGACGCCGCGUGGGGGAUGACUGCCUUCGGUUUGUAACCCCCUUUCAGCACAGACGAAGCGUAAGUGACGGUAUGUGCAGAAGAAGCACCGGCCAACUACGUG